GACAGAGGUGCCGAGCGUUAGGCGGAAUCACUGGGCUUAAAGCGUGUGUAGGCGGAUCGUUAAGUGUCUUGUGAAAUCCCACGGCUCACCCGUGGAACUGCUGGGCAUACUGGCGAUCUUGGGCCAACUAGGGGCAACUGGAACAAGCGGUGGAGCGGUGAAAUGCGUAGAUAUCGCUUGGAACGCCGAAGGUGAAAACAGGUUGCUGGGGUUGUGCCGACGCUGAGACACGAAAGCCAGGGGAGCAAACGGG
rnacentral:rRNA from 1 species